CCUACGGGAGGCAGCAGUGAGGAAUAUUGGUCAAUGGGCGCUAGCCUGAACCAGCCAAGUCGCGUGAAGGAUGACUGCACUAUGUAUUGUAAACCUCUUUUAUAUGGGAAUAAAGUGCAGGACUAAUACUGCUUUGAGUGUACCUGAUGAAUAAGGAUCGGCUAACUCCGUGCCAGCAGCCGCGGUAAUACGGAGGAUGCGAGCGUUAUCCGGAUUUAUUGGGGUUAAAGGGCGCGUAGGCGGGAUGUUAAGUCAGGUGUGAAAGCUCGCGGCUCAACGUGAGAACUGCAGUUGAUACUGGCAGCCUUGAGUGCAGGAGAGGUUGGUGGAAUUCGUGGUGUAGCGGUGAAAUGCUUAGAUAUCACGAAGAACACCGAUUGCGAAGGCAGCCUGCUGGCCUGUAACUGACGCUGAUGCGCGAAAGCGUGGGUAUCAAACAGGAUUAGAUACCCCAGUAGUC
rnacentral:rRNA from 1 species